rnacentral:rRNA from 1 species
AGUGAACGCUGGCGGUAGGCCUAACACGUGCAAGUCGAACGGCAGCACAGUAAGAGCUUGCUCUUACGGGUGGCGAGUGGCGGACGGGUGAGGAAUACAUCGGAAUCUACUUUUUCGUGGGGGAUAACGUAGGGAAACUUACGCUAAUACCGCAUACGACCUACGGGUGAAAGCAGGGGGUCUUCGGACCUUGCGCGAUUGAAUGAGCCGAUGUCGGAUUAGCUAGUUGGCGGGGUAAAGGCCCACCAAGGCGACGAUCCGUAGCUGGUCUGAGAGGAUGAUCAGCCACACUGGAACUGAGACACGGUCCAGACUCCUACGGGAGGCAGCAGUGGGGAAUAUUGGACAAUGGGCGCAAGCCUGAUCCAGCCAUACCGCGUGGGUGAAGAAGGCCUUCGGGUUGUAAAGCCCUUUUGUUGGGAAAGAAAAGCAGCAGGUUAAUACCCCGCUGUUCUGACGGUACCCAAAGAAUAAGCACCGGCUAACUUCGUG